rnacentral:pre_miRNA from 1 species
UGUUAAAAAUUUCAUCUAUUUCUACUGUUAAAAACUGGCAUGACUGACAGAAUAACAAGACAGUUACCUCGUUCUGAUGUAUAGUGACUAGUUUUUAUUGGUAGAACUGGAUGAAUUUUUUUAUCA